UACGUAGGAUGCAAGCGUUAUCCGGAAUUACUGGGCGUAAAGCGUCAGUAGGUGGUUUGUUAAGUUAAAUGUUAAAUCUUCAGGCUCAACUUGAAGACUGCAUUUAAUACUGGCAGGACUUGAGGAAGGAAGAGGUAAGCGGAAUUAGUGGUGGAGCGGUGAAAUGCGUAGAUAUCACUAAGAACACCAAUGGCGAAGGCAGCUUACUGGGCCUCUCCUGACACUGAUUGACGAAAGCGUGGGGA
rnacentral:rRNA from 1 species